rnacentral:rRNA from 1 species
UUCCGGGUGAUCCAGCCGGAGGNNACCGCUUUUGGUGUUCGACUAAGCCAUGCAAGUCAUAUGUUCCUCGUGAACAUGGCAUACUGCUCAGUAACACGUGGAUAUCCUGCCCUUGGGUCUGGGAUAACCCCGGGAAACUGGGGAUAAUACCGGAUGACGCAUAUGUGCUGGAAUGCUUUAUGCGUAAAACGGAUUCGUCCGCCCAAGGAUGGGUCUGCGGCCUAUCAGGUAGUAGUGGGUGUAAUGUACCUACUAGCCAACAACGGGUACGGGUUGUGAGAGCAAGAGCCCGGAGAUGGAUUCUGAGACAUGAAUCCAGGCCCUACGGGGCGCAGCAGGCGCGAAAACUUUACAAUGCGGGAAACCGUGAUAAGGGAACACCGAGUGCCAGCAUCAUAUGCUGGCUGUCCAGAUGUGUAAACUACAUCUGUUAGCAAGGGCCGGGCAAGACCGGUGCCAGCCGCCGCGGUAACACCGGCGGCCCGAGUGGUGACCGUUAUUAUUG